AGCCUGCCACAGCUGGGGGUAUGGGGGAAGGAGGAGAACGGAACAAUAGGGCAGGCAAAGGAGAAGAGAGAUGGUCUAGGGAAGGACAGAGGGAAUGGAGCAGGAGGGGAUGGAGAGAGAUGAUCGAGGGAAGGAUGGAAGGAAGGAAGCAGGUGGGGGUGGAGAGAGAUGAUCAAGGGAAGGUCAGAGGGAAUGGAGCAGGUGGGAAUGGAGAGAGAUGACGGAGGGAAGAACAGGGGAAUGGAGCAAGUGAGGAUGGAGAGAGGUGAUGGAGGGAAGAACAGGGGAAUGGAGCAGGUGGGGAUGGAGAGAGAUGAUCGAGGGAAGAACAGGGGAAUGGAGCAGGUGGGGAUGGAGAGAGAUGAUCGAGGGAAGAACAGGGGAAUGGAGCAGGUGGGGAUGGAGAGAGAUGAUUGAGGGAAGGAUGGACGGAAGGAAGCAGGCGAGAGUGGAGAGAGAUGAUCAAAGGAAGGUCAGAGGGAAUGGAGCAGGCGGGGAUGGAGAGAGAUGAUGGAGGGAAGAACAGGGGAAUGGAGCAGGCUGGGAUGGAGAAAGAUGAU